rnacentral:rRNA from 2 species
UGGCGGCGUGCCUAAUACAUGCAAGUUGAGCGGACAGAUGGGAGCUUGCUCCCUGAUGUUAGCGGCGGACGGGUGAGUAACACGUGGGUAACCUGCCUGUAAGACUGGGAUAACUCCGGGAAACCGGGGCUAAUACCGGAUGGUUGUCUGAACCGCAUGGUUCAGACAUAAAAGGUGGCUUCGGCUACCACUUACAGAUGGACCCGCGGCGCAUUAGCUAGUUGGUGAGGUAACGGCUCACCAAGGCGACGAUGCGUAGCCGACCUGAGAGGGUGAUCGGCCACACUGGGACUGAGACACGGCCCAGACUCCUACGGGAGGCAGCAGUAGGGAAUCUUCCGCAAUGGACGAAAGUCUGACGGAGCAACGCCGCGUGAGUGAUGAAGGUUUUCGGAUCGUAAAGCUCUGUUGUUAGGGAAGAACAAGUGCCGUUCAAAUAGGGCGGCACCUUGACGGUACCUAACCAGAAAGCCACGGCUAACUACGUGCCAGCAGCCGCGGUAAUACGUAGGUGGCAAGCGUUGUCCGGAAUUAUUGGGCGUAAAGGGCUCGCAGGCGGUUUCUUAAGUCUGAUGUGAAAGCCCCCGGCUCAACCGGGGAGGGUCAUUGGAAACUGGGGAACUUGAGUGCAGAAGAGGAGAGUGGAAUUCCACGUGUAGCGGUGAAAUGCGUAGAGAUGUGGAGGAACACCAGUGGCGAAGGCGACUCUCUGGUCUGUAACUGACGCUGAGGAGCGAAA